AGUACUUUAAGUGUUGGUUUAGCUGGGGUAGUUGUUUUAAAAAAACUAAUACGCUAUAUAACACUUACAGGUGGGCAUUGGUCCUGUUUAUACGGAUAGUCAGGUUAAGUUACUUUUCGGAUAACAGCCCAAUAUUUUUGGGGAGACCAUAUUUAUAGAGAAGGUUGCGACCUCGAUGUUGAAUUAGAAGUUUUCUGUGAGGUAGCAUAUACAGGGGAGGGUUUGUUCAACCCUUAAAUUUUUACAUGAUCUGAGUUCAAACCG
rnacentral:rRNA from 1 species